AUUGAACGCUGGCGGCACGCCUAACACAUGCAAGUCGAGAGGCAGCGCGAUAUGUAGCAAUACAUAUUGGCGGCGAGCGGCGGACGGGUGAGGAACACGUAGGAACCUACCCUCGAGUGGGGGAUAACCAAGGGAAACUUUGGCUAAUACCGCAUGAACUCGAGAGAGCAAAGCUGCCGCGAGGUGGCGCUCGAGGAGGGGCCUGCGUCCGAUUAGCUAGUUGGUGAGGUAAGAGCUCACCAAGGCGAUGAUCGGUUACUGGUCUGAGAGGCCGACCGGUCAGACUGGGACUGAGACACGGCCCAGACUCCUACGGGAGGCAGCAGUGGGGAAUAUUGGACAAUGGGGGCAACCCUGAUCCAGCGAUGCCGCGUGAGUGAAGAAGGCCUUCGGGUCGUAAAGCUCUUUAGGUUGGGAAGAAGGGUGAUGGAGGAAAUGCUAUCACUUUGACGGUACCGACAGAAUAAGCACCGGCAAACUCUGUGCCAGCAGCCGCCGUAAAAC
rnacentral:rRNA from 1 species